UGAGGAAUAUUGGUCAAUGGACGAGAGUCUGAACCAGCCAAGUAGCGUGCAGGAUGACGGCCCUAUGGGUUGUAAACUGCUUUUAUGUGGGGAUAAAGUGCGUGACGUGUCAUGCAUUGCAGGUACCACAUGAAUAAGGACCGGCUAAUUCCGUGCCAGCAGCCGCGGUAAUACGGAAGGUCCGGGCGUUAUCCGGAUUUAUUGGGUUUAAAGGGAGCGUAGGCUGUCUAUUAAGCGUGUUGUGAAAUUUACCGGCUCAACCGGUGGCUUGCAGCGCGAACUGGUCGACUUGAGUAUGCAGGAAGUAGGCGGAAUUCAUGGUGUAGCGGUGAAAUGCUUAGAUAUCAUGAAGAACUCCGAUUGCGAAGGCAGCUUACGGGAGCGCAACUGACGCUGAAGCUCGAAGGUGCGGGUAUCGAACAGG
rnacentral:rRNA from 1 species